CUGGGGGUGAAAGGCCAAUCAAACCGGGAGAUAGCUGGUUCUCCCCGAAAGCUAUUUAGGUAGCGCCUCGUGAAUUCAUCUCCGGGGGUAGAGCACUGUUUCGGCUAGGGGGCCAUCCCGGCUUACCAACCCGAUGCAAACUGCGAAUACCGGAGAAUGUUAUCACGGGAGACACACGGCGGGUGCUAACGUCCGUCGUGAAGAGGGAAACAACCCAGACCGCCAGCUAAGGUCCCAAAGUCAUGGUUAAGUGGGAAACGAUGUGGGAAGGCCCAGACAGCCAGGAUGUUGGCUUAGAAGCAGCCAUCAUUUAAAGAAAGCGUAAUAGCUCACUGGUCGAGUCGGCCUGCGCGGAAGAUGUAACGGGGCUAAACCAUGCACCGAAGCUGCGGCAGCGACGCUGAUGCGUUGUUGGGUAGGGGAGCGUUCUGUAAGCCUGUGAAGGUGGCCUGUGAGGGUUGCUGGAGGUAUCAGAAGUGCGAAUGCUGACAUAAGUAACGAUAAAGCGGGUGAAAAGCCCGCUCGCCGGAAGACCAAGGGUUCCUGUCCAACGUUAAUCGGGGCAGGGUGAGUCGACCCCUAAGGCGAGGCCGAAAGGCGUAGUCGAUGGGAAACGGGUUAAUAUUCCCGUACUUGGUGUUACUGCGAAGGGGGGACGGAGAAGGCUAUGUUGGCCGGGCGACGGUU
rnacentral:rRNA from 1 species